rnacentral:rRNA from 1 species
GGCGUAAACAGAGGGAAGCGAGCCUGCAGGGGGAGCGAAUCCCAAAAAUAAACGUCCCAGUUCGGAUUGUAGUCUGCAACCCGACUACAUGAAGCUGGAAUCGCUAGUAAUCGCGAAUCAGAAUGUCGCGGUGAAUACGUUCCCGGGUCUUGUACACACCGCCCGUCACACCAUGGGAGUCGGAAAUGCCCGAAGUCAGUGACCCAACCGUAAGGAGGGAGCUGCCGAAGGUGGAGCCGGUAACUGGGGUGAAGUCGUAACAAGGUACC